AGGCAGGGCUGGGGGCAGGGUCUGCGCAGCCCCCACGCCCCCCUUCUUUGCCUGCCCAGGAAAGGGAAGGAAGUAGCAUUAAUGCAGCACCUACUAUGCAUCUGUGGCCGUACUAGGCAGUUGGAACGUAGGGGUGAAUGAAACAGAAACGGCCCCACACCUGCCAACUCCAAAUGAAAGCAGGAGAGGGACUCGGGGUUUGCUAGCACCCUGUGUGUCAGGAAAGCAGAGGACGGGGUGCAGAGGGAAACCAAGGCCUGGACCGGCUGGGAGAGACCCGAUACAAGGCAGAGGAAGUUUCUCCCCCAGGGAGAGUCCUUGGUUGAGCCACUGAGGGGAGGAAGCUCGAGCCACAAAAGAUGACCAUCAAACCAUGAGGUGGGACGAAACAGGAGGCAACACGUGCUGAGACUGCCCACGUGGCGGCACCGUCCGGAGCACCGCUCAGCUCGUCCGGUCUCCUGACAACAGCUCCACAAACCGCCAUCACUUCCAUUUUAAAGAUGAGAAUACCGAGGCCCCGGAGAUGACGCAGCUCCAGGGAAGGGACCGGCACCGUGAACCACUUGGCACCCUGUGGGGGUCCCAGGAAGGACUCUGGGCUCAUCGCACACGGUGUUGGUGGCGAGGAGUGGCGGGAGAGGCCGGUGCACUGGGCGGGGAUCCUCCGAAGACCAGGAAGGAGGGCAGGUGGAGGCAGGACUACUUCCCAGCGAUUACAGUGGGCUGGCUCCCUGCAGGGAACCCCCCACCAAGCGCGGUGUGUACCCCGCGUCGCCGACUGCCCAUUGCCAAGAGGCCCAGAAGCGUCCUUACCUUGAAGAAGAUGUAAUCGUCCUGCACCGUCAGAGAACCGUGGUCGAUGGGGCCCGGGAACGGAGCUGUCAGCGUCUUCUCCGAGCAGUUGUGGAUCUGGCAGGUGACAUAGCGGAACCCUGCAGGGGACAGGAAAGUGCCACCCGCUCGGACCCGGGCCGCAGGAAGAGCCAGACUCAGCCUCGGACGCCGCGACACGCUGGCCCGCUCCCGGCCCCGCUGGACACUGCUGCAGCGGGCUUGUCUGCGGGUCUGAGUCCCAACGGGGGCCUGCACCUGCCGCCCAGCGGUGGCGGCUAUGAGCCAGAGCUCCAGGCACAGGGUGGUGUGCGGAGCUGUGAUGGCAGCCCAGGCACCAGGAAGGCAGCUGGCAGGGAAGGUGAUCCAAGGAAACAAGAAACCCAAGAUGGAGAAAUGGGGGACAGCAGAUCCUGGAAAGAGCUGAGGGCUUAGAAAAGGUUAAGAGGCCCAUCAGCAGCUUCCACCCUCCACCACCAAGCGCUCGCCCAUGACUUCCCCGCACUGAGCAGCACAUGUGCGUUGACCCAUUUCACAGAUGAGGACAUCGAGGAGCAGGGAGGAGAGGUGACAUUCCCAGGGUCACACAGCUGGCACUUGGCAGGCUGGGAGCCGAUGCCAGUGCUUCUGGUCUCAGCUGGGACUCUCCGUGGCUGGGCUCUGACACUGCCUUCCACAUAGUACGUCCUAUCCAAGGAGCUCUACUGCUUGUCACUUGUCAACUCCCACCGUUUGUUAAAUGUGAACCUACAGAGGUCUCCACUCUAAGAGAAGCCCAGCAGGAGGAGGCUCAAUGGUCCCAGCCCCUGUAGGGGAAUGUGGUCAGAGCAGUGACAGCACCAGGGCGGCACCAGUUCUGCUGUUCCCGUUCCUGGCUGCAUGCGGGUCCCAUGGAUUGUACUACAGGGUUGGCAUCUGUACUGUCCCCAACCAGGCAAAGGGCGGGACUAUGUCUUGUUCACCUGUGUCCCCAGCAGGUUAGCACUGGGCCUGAUCCACAGGGAACUCAACAAGUAUGUGUUGAAUAACAGUCAUCUGGGCUCUGAUGUUCUAGAACACCCAUGGUUCUCGAAUAUGCCAUAGUCCUAGGGCCGGUCAGUGCUCCUCCCUCAGGAGCACAGAGGAUCUUUCUUAGAGCAUGGAAGGCCCCUGGGUGCAUUCUGGCACGAAGCCAGCUGUGCUAGGGUGGCCAGGCCCCCGCCCAUUGAAGGGGCAGCCGUCAGAGGCCCCCACCUGGCCUCAGCACUCAGCAACACCAGAGGUGGGGGGCAUAGUGCACAGGAAACACUCAAUGCUCAGGGGCCAGAACAAAUCACCCUCUUAAUGGACUUUUCCAUGGAGCAGAGCUCCUGGACUUCAAUUUAUCCCCAGCUGGAAAACAAGCACAUUUAAAGUUACGCCACAUCAUCACAUAGCGGCCCUGCUCAGCCAAGAAACUGCCCUAGGGUGCACCAGGCCAGGCCCUGAGCUGGGGUAAAGACACAGGGGGACACCUGGUGCACGCAACCCUCCCGGCUUACCUCCUCUGACAUCCUGGGCUUCCAUGUGGACCAAAUCAGGGUCAGCAUCCACCCCAGAUACAGACCUGGAAGAGAGUGCGUGGGGGUUGGUGCUGGGAACCGAGUCCCCAGGCCCCUGUCCCAGAGCCCGCAUCAGGCCCUGAGCCCUGGGUAGCCACUCCAGCUCCGUGGGUCUGAGGGCUCAGUCCUCCCCACCUGCUCCUGGGGAGGUAUCCAGAACUUCUUUUUAUAAGACUCUUUAUUUUUUUAAAAGGUUUAUUUAUUUAUUCAUGAGAGACAGAGAGAUAGACAGAGACACAGGCAGAGGGAGAAGCAGGCUCCAUGCAGGGAGCCCGAUGUGGGAUUCAGUCCCAGGACCCCGGGGAUCAUGCCCUGGGCCAAAGGCAGAUACUCAACCGCUGAGCCACCCAGGCGUCCCUAUGAAACUCUUUAUAGAAGACUCUGCUUUACUGAAGACCUUCACAUUCCUGGCAUCUUUAUUGUUGCUAUUGUUUUGGGGAUGAUCAAAAUACCCGGACAAGGUUAGGCCAGAUUUGGGAA